rnacentral:rRNA from 1 species
CCUACGGGAGGCAGCAGUGAGGAAUAUUGGUCAAUGGACGAGAGUCUGAACCAGCCAAGUAGCGUGAAGGAUGACUGCCCUAUGGGUUGUAAACUUCUUUUAUAUGGGAAUAAAACGUUCCACGUGUGGGAUUUUGUAUGUACCAUAUGAAUAAGGAUCGGCUAACUCCGUGCCAGCAGCCGCGGUAAUACGGAGGAUCCGAGCGUUAUCCGGAUUUAUUGGGUGUAAAGGGAGCGUAGGUGGAUUGUUAAGUCAGUGGUGAAAGUUUGCGGCUCAACCGUAAAAUUGCAGUUGAAACUGGCAGUCUUGAGUACAGUAGAGGUGGGCGGAAUUCGUGGUGUAGCGGUGAAAUGCUUAGAUAUCACGAAGAACUCCGAUUGCGAAGGCAGUUCACUGGACUGCAACUGACACUGAGGCUCGAAAGUGUGGGUAUCAAACAGGAUUAGAUACCCUUGUAGUC